rnacentral:sRNA from 1 species
GCGGAGGAAAAGAAACCAACAGGGAUUGCCUUAGUAACGGCGAGUGAAGCGGCAACAGCUCAAAUUUGAAAUCUGGUCCCCUUUGGGGGCCCGAGUUGUAAUUUGAAGAGGAUGCUUUUGGCGAGGCGCCGUCCGAGUUCCCUGGAACGGGACGCCGCAGAGGGUGAGAGCCCCGUACGGUCGGACGCCGAGCCUCUGUAAAGCUCCUUCGACGAGUCGAGUAGUUUGGGAAUGCUGCUCAAAAUGGGAGGUAAACCCCUUCUAAAGCUAAAUACUGGCCAGAGACCGAUAGCGCACAAGUAGAGUGAUCGAAAGAUGAAAAGCACUUUGAAAAGAGAGUUAAAAAGCACGUGAAAUUGUUAAAAGGGAAGCGCUUGCGACCAGACUUGCGCCCGUCGGAUCAACCGUCGCUUGCGGCGGCGCACUCCGGCGGGCUCAGGCCAGCAUCAGUUCGUCCGGGGGGAGAAAGGCGGCGGGAAUGUGGCUCUUCGGAGUGUUAUAGCCCGCCGUGUAAUACCCUCGGGUGGACUGAGGACCGCGCGUA